AACGAACGCUGGCGGCAUGCCUAACACAUGCAAGUCGAACGAGACCUUCGGGUCUAGUGGCGCACGGGUGCGUAACGCGUGGGAACCUGCCCUUAGGUUCGGAAUAACUCCCCGAAAGGGGUGCUAAUACCGGAUAAUGUCUUCGGACCAAAGAUUUAUCGCCUUUGGAUGGGCCCGCGUUGGAUUAGCCAGUUGGUAGGGUAAAAGCCUACCAAGGCGACGAACCAUAGCUGGUCUGAGAGGAUGAUCAGCCACACUGGGACUGAGACACGGCCCAGACUCCUAGGGGAGGCAGCAGUGGGGAAUAUUGGACAAUGGGCGAAAGCCUGAUCCAGCAAUGCCGCGUGAGUGAUGAAGGCCUUAGGGUUGUAAAGCUCUUUUACCCGGGAUGAUAAUGACAGUACCGGGAGAAUAAGCGCCGGCUAACUCCGUG
rnacentral:rRNA from 1 species